AUGCCACAGCAUUUUUGGUCCGUGGAGGGGGCCGAGGAGGCGCUCGGCUGCCGCGUCGACCGCCUCGACAGCCGCACGUUCGAGCGCAGCCACACCAAGACCUUCGCCUGCUGGGUCUGGGUGUGGGAUGUCGGCCUCAUCCCGACCAAGCACACAUUCUGGCUGAUGCAGCGCGGGGCGGGCAGAGUGGACGAGAUGCUGGGCUUCUCGCCGCCCGGCCGAGCCGUUGCUGCGCCGCCGUCCGCCAGCCGCCACGACGUCCUCAUCCACGUCGAUCGCAUCGAGGACUGGACUCCGUACGAGCCGCGGUCGCCUCGCUCCGCUCAGAGCGGCCUGCCGUCCUCGGACUCGGACGACGACGACAGGCCGAUGCCGCGCAUCAUCCCGGCUGGCUCCUGGAAGAAGGGCCUGGAGGACGGCCAGCGUGAGCCACACCAUCGCCGUCAACUCGCCGCGCUGGCGGAUAUGGGGUGCCGCGGCGGUGCCACUGGCGGCGGCAGGAAGGACGACGAGGGCGACGACCGGGGCGGGCGCAGAUCUUGGAAAGACACGCUCCUCGGUCGCAGCCGUGCGGGUAAGGAGAAGGUGGUGGAGACGGAGGCCUCCUCGCGUCGCCGCAGCCGUUCCCCUCCGGGCCAGCGCCUCGGAGAGCUCCAGGGGCCGCCACAACUCUGGUCGCCGCCGUGCUGCGGGUGCAGGGGCCGCCCUGCUCCAGGCCCCGCGGCCCCUGCCCCCCUAGGCGCCUGCCGAUGCGCAACCAACCGCUGA
rnacentral:rRNA from 1 species